AUUGAACGCUGGCGGCAUGCCUUACACAUGCAAGUCGAACGGUAACAGGUCUUCGGAUGCUGACGAGUGGAGAACGGGUGAGUAAUACAUCGGAAAGUGCCCGAUCGUGGGGGAAAAAGCGGCGAAAGCUCUGCUAAUACCGCAUACGAUCUACGGAUGACAGCGGGGGAUCCUCGGACCCCGCGCGGCCGGAGCGGCCGCUGGCAGAUUAGGUAGUUGGUGGGAUAAAAGCUUACCAAGCCGACGAUCUGUAGCUGGUUUGAGAGGAUGAUCAGCCACACUGGGACUGAGACACGGCCCAGACUCCUACGGGAGGCAGCAGUGGGGAAUUUUGGACAAUGGGCGAAGGCCUGAUCCAGCCAUGCCGCGUGCAGGAUGAAGGCCUUCGGGUUGUAAACUGCUUUUGUACGGAACGAAAAGCCUCUUUCUAAUAAAGAGGGGUCAUGACGGUACCGUAAGAAUAAGCACCGGCUAACUACGUG
rnacentral:rRNA from 1 species